rnacentral:lncRNA from 1 species
CGAGAAACAUCUUGCCAAUUUUCAGAUUAAUCUGUGAGGAAAGUAGAUUGGUUUACUAGACUCAGUUUGUAGACUUUGGUGAGAACUGAAUUGGAGGCUAUGAAAAAAAUACCUUUUGGGCCUUUCUGAAUAGACAUAUAUACAUAAAUUAUAUCUCUUACAUUAAGUGAGGCACAUAUGUAGGUGAGAUUUUUACCUGAAUAUUAAAAGUUUAAAAGUCGUUACCUAUUCUGUUUACUUAAUAGUAUUUAAAGGGUGUGAGAGGUGUUAUGUGUUUCUGUCCCUUGUUUUUAUUCCUAUCCCUCCCAUCUAACUGUUGGUACUCUUAUCUUCCCAGGUAUUAAACUUGUAUGUUUUAAAAGCUUAUUUACUUGUUGAAAUGGUUAACUUAAUUAGUUUUUUCUUUGAAGUUUCAGCCUAAAUAUUUUCUGUUUUUUUAUAUGUCCUUUAAAUAUGAAAAUUCUACAGCUAAUCAUAAUUAGUAAUUGUACUUUUUCCCCUAUUACAAUAACUGGUUUCAUAAUAAAAUGGUAUCCCUUCAAUAACAAGCAUUUAUAGUAGUUUAUUAAAACUAAGGGUGUUAUCUAUUCAAACCAAGCAAUGCAGACUUACUGUUGACUCUGUUAAUAUAUUUUAAAAUUGCAUAUUACUAAAAUUUAAAAUAUGAUUUUGACUAGUAUUUUGGUGUAUGUUAUUUUAGAUAUUUUGAUUAUGCACUACUUAAGAAUGAAUUGUCAAGUAUGAUUAUAAAGUUGAUAUAAUAGUUAACCUUCAGUGGGAAUAGGAAUCAUUUAAUAUUGUUAGAUAUUUGUAUUAUUAGAACAAUCUCCUAUGAUUCUUACUAAUAUAGUAAUGAAUGACAGACAAUAUGUUGGCUUUCAUAUUUAAAAAUUCACAUGCAUUUCUAGUUUAUGUUUUUCUUCGACUAAAAUUCUGCAGCACUUAGGCAAAGCUAUUUUUACCAGUUGGAAAAAAAGUAAGUCAUUUCCAACCAAUUUUCCUGGCUUGUAGUAUAGAAUAAAGAGACUUGAUUUUAUUACAUUAAAGCCAAAUAUAAAAUGAUGCAAUCUAGCACACACUUGUUUGGAACUUUUCUCUUUUAAAUAUUCAGAUUAAGAGGACGUUGAAAGGUAAAUUUUUUUUUUUUUUUGAGACGGAGUCUAGCUCUGUCACCCAGGCUGGAGUGCACUGGCACGAUUUCGGCUUACUGCAAGCUCUGCCUCCCAGGUUCAUGCCAUUCUCCUGCCUCAGCCUCCCGAGUAGCUGGGACUACAGGCGCCUACCACGGUGGCGCCCGGCUAAUUUUUUGUAUUUUUAGUAGAGACGGGGUUUCACCGUGUUAGCCAGGAUGGUCUCGAUCUCCUGACCUCGUGAUCUGCCUGCCUCGGCCUCCCAAAGUGCUGGGAUUACAGGUAAAUUUUGAUUGUUAUUAGCAACUAUAAAAGUUUUGCAGUUGGCUUAUUGGAAAAAGAAAACCUCCUUGCCGGAGACGGAGACGCAUUUGUAUUAGAACUUUGUUUUCUGAGUACCUUACCUAUAGUAGGUUUCAAAUAUUGGUGAAUUAGUUGAUGGUUAGGUCUGCAUAAUUACUGCGUAUGGAAAUUCUGGAACCCUAUUUUUUCAAAAUGCAGCUAAUGUUGAGAGAAUAUGCACUAAAUAUUACUAGAUCUUUGUUUUUCAAGAUGCUGAUAUCCCUUAACAUCUUCUGCACUUUACCUGUUUGAAUAUCUUUUUUGCUGUAAAAAUUAGUGGCCUUAUGUCUUUCUGCAUAAUUAUAGAGUAGCCAAAACCUGUUUUAGGUUAAUCACCUCUGGCAAAAUAAAUGAUAAAAGCAUAGCUUUUGUAAGCAGAAUGAUAUUACAGAAGUUAACUUAUAAAUCUAAGUGUAUUAAAGACACUUAGGAAAUUUAUGAUAAUGCUGGGUCAGCAUUACAGUUUUAACUUUUUACAGUUUUUCAUAUGCUUUUUUUGUGAUUUUGCUGUAGAAAAUUAACAGUUGGCAUUUGGCUUAGUUCAAGUAUAAUGCUGUUGACAAGUAUAUCUGACACGUCAUUGAACUAAUAAUAUUUUUGAAAGCUGAUAGGUACUUAUUUUUAAAGCUAUAGAGGUAAUAUUUCAUCAGUUGCAGAUUUGUUGCCAAAUGAACGAGUUUGUAGUAUUGCUAACAAGGAGAAGAAUUACUAGCAAGUCUUGAUGUUACUUUUGAAGAGUGUGAUGAUUGCAUUUAGGAAGAUAUCUAAACUUCUGUUU